rnacentral:rRNA from 1 species
UACGUAGGGAGCGAGCGUUGUCCGGAAUUACUGGGCGUAAAGGGCGUGUAGGCGGGGAUUUAAGUAAGGUGUGAAAACUCCAGGCUCAACUUGGAGAUUGCACUUUAAACUGGAUCUCUUGAGGGCAGGAGAGGAAAGUGGAAUUCCUAGUGUAGCGGUGAAAUGCGUAGAUAUUAGGAGGAACACCAGUGGCGAAGGCGACCUGCUGGACAUUAACUGACGCUGAGGCGCGAAAGCGUGGGGAGCGAACAGGAUUAGAUACCCCGGUAGUCCCUGA